AAUAGAUACCCGGUAGUCCACGCCGUAAACGAUGAGUGCUAAGUGUUAGGGGGUUUCCGCCCCUUAGUGCUGCAGCUAACGCAUUAAGCACUCCGCCUGGGGAGAACGGUCGCAAGACUGAAACUCAAAGGAAUUGACGGGGGCCCGCACAAGCGGUGGAGCAUGUGGUUUAAUUCGAAGCAACGCGAAGAACCUUACCAGGUCUUGACAUCCCAUUGACCACUAUGGAGACAUAGUUUUCCCUUCGGGGACAACGGUGACAGGUGGUGCAUGGUUGUCGUCAGCUCGUGUCGUGAGAUGUUGGGUUAAGUCCCGCAACGAGCGCAACCCUUGUUCUUAGUUGCCAUCAUUUAGUUGGGCACUCUAAGGAGACUGCCGGUGACAAACCGGAGGAAGGUGGGGAUGACGUCAAAUCAUCAUGCCCCUUAUGACCUGGGCUACACACGUGCUACAAUGGACGGUACAAACGGUUGCCAACCCGCGAGGGGGAGCUAAUCCGAUAAAACCGUUCUCAGUUCGGAUUGUAGGCUGCAACUCGCCUACAUGAAGGCC
rnacentral:rRNA from 1 species